AUUGAACGCUGGCGGCAUGCCUUACACAUGCAAGUCGAACGGUAACAGGUCUUCGGAUGCUGACGAGUGGCGAACGGGUGAGUAAUACAUCGGAACGUGCCCGAUCGUGGGGGAUAACGAAGCGAAAGCUUUGCUAAUACCGCAUAAGAUCUACGGAUGAAAGCAGGGGACCGCAAGGCCUUGCGCGAGCGGAGCGGUCGAUGGCAGAUUAGGUAGUUGGUGGGAUAAAAGCUUACCAAGCCGACGAUCUGUAGCUGGUCUGAGAGGACGACCAGCCACACUGGGACUGAGACACGGCCCAGACUCCUACGGGAGGCAGCAGUGGGGAAUUUUGGACAAUGGGCGAAAGCCUGAUCCAGCCAUGCCGCGUGCAGGAUGAAGGCCUUCGGGUUGUAAACUGCUUUCGUACGGAACGAAAAGACUCUUUCUAAUAAAGAGGGUCCAUGACGGUACCGUAAGAAUAAGCACCGGCUAACUACGUGCCAGCCGCCGCCGCGG
rnacentral:rRNA from 1 species